rnacentral:tRNA from 1 species
CGUUAAGAAGCUUAUGUAAGCGACAGUCUUUUAAGCUGUACCUAGGUGGUUAAGCCCACCCUUAAUGA